CAAUAGCGUAUAUUUAAGUUGUUGCAGUUAAAAAGCUCGUAGUUGGAUUUCGGGUGGGACGCAGCGGUCUCGCAUUGCGUUUGUACUGCUGCAGCCCUCCUUCUUGCCGGGGGCGGCCUCUCGGACUUCACUGUCUGGGAAUCGGAAUCGGCGAUGUUACUUUGAGUAAAUUAGAGUGUUCAAAGCAAGCCUUCGCUCUGAAUAUAAUAGCAUGGGAUAACACGACAGGACUCUGGCCUAUCGUGUUGGUCUGUAGGACCGGAGUAAUGAUUAAGAGGAACAGUCGGGGGCAUUCGUAUUCCAUUGUCAGAGGUGAAAUUCUUAGAUUUAUGGAAGACGAACAUCUGCGAAAGCAUUUGCCAAGGAUGUUUUCAUUGA
rnacentral:rRNA from 1 species